rnacentral:rRNA from 1 species
AACGAACGCUGGCGGCAUGCCUAACACAUGCAAGUCGAACGAGACCUUCGGGCUUAGUGGCGCACGGGUGCGUAACGCGUGGGAACCUGCCCUUAGGUUCGGAAUAACUCCCCGAAAGGGGUGCUAAUACCGGAUAAUGUCUUCGCACCAAAGAUUUAUCGCCUUUGGAUGGGCCCGCGUUGGAUUAGCUAGUUGGUAGGGUAAAAGCCUAUCAAGGCGACGAUCCAUAGCUGGUCUGAGAGGAUGAUCAGCCACACUGGGACUGAGACACGGCCCAGACUCCUACGGGAGGCAGCAGAGGGGAAUAUUGGACAAUGGGCGAAAGCCUGAUCCAGCAAUGCCGCGUGAGUGAUGAAGGCCUUAGGGUUGUAAAGCUCUUUUACCCGGGAUGAUAAUGACAGUACCGGGAGAAUAAGCACCGGCUAACUCCGUG